rnacentral:rRNA from 1 species
UACGAAGGGGGCUAGCGUUGCUCGGAAUCACUGGGCGUAAAGGGUGCGUAGGCGGGUUUUUAAGUCAGGGGUGAAAUCCUGGAGCUCAACUCCAGAACUGCCUUUGAUACUGAAGAUCUUGAGUCCGGGAGAGGUGAGUGGAACUGCGAGUGUAGAGGUGAAAUUCGUAGAUAUUCGCAGGAACACCAGUGGCGAAGGCGGCUUACUGGUCCAUUACUGACGCUGAGGUGCGAAAGCGUGGGGAGCAAACAGG